UACGUAGGGUGCAAGCGUUGUUCGGAUUCAUUGGGCGUAAAGGGUGCGUAGGCGGCGCGGUAAGUCGGGUGUGAAAUCUUGGAGCUUAACUCCGAAACUGCAUUCGAUACUGCCGUGCUUGAGGACUGGAGAGGAGACUGGAAUUUACGGUGUAGCGGUGAAAUGCGUUGAUAUCGGAAGGAACGCCGGUGGCGAAAGCGACGUGCUGGACCUCUUCUGACGCUGAGGCGCGAAAGCUAGGGGAGCGAACGGG
rnacentral:rRNA from 1 species